CCGCCUGCCGACGCGCUGGUUCCUCCUGCCGACUCGAGGCGGCGGCUGCUCUGCUCCUGCGGAACGCUCGCCUCGCCGCGGCAGUCGGGUCGCCGGCGCGGUCUCCACCUCAGGUUCUAUGGAUGGCAACUUCACUUAUUAAGGCUCAAUAUGUGCCGCUAUACUGAUUGGGCAAGCAGGGAAAACUAGAGGAAGCUGAGAAGCUCUUCACGGCAGCACUGCAUGAAGCUAAAGAAGGAUUUGGACUGAGAAAUCCACAUUCUGCAUCGCCUCUGAACAACUUGGUAAGUGUUAUGAAAUAAGGAUUUUAAAUAACAUAUAUGCUUCUUUCUAAUGAAUGGAGCUGCUGUGCUCAUUUAAGUCCACAAGCUAGCUUAUUAGAUUGCCGCCGUGAGAGCACCACAUGGGUGUCCAUUUGCUAAUCCACGACUUGGGUAUUCCAACCAAGGAUACUCGUUCGCAAUACCGCGUUGUAUUCAUGCAUAACUAUUAUGUUUUAUGUCAUCAUCUCAUGGUCAUGAAAAUAGGUUGAAAGUGCUAGUUAUCGACUAGAGGGGGUAGAAUAGGCGAUUUUUAAGAAAGUCUUCAAAACAUGGAAGUUUCAAAGACAAACAAUGAAAAUGAACCUAAUAACAUGCAGCGGAAGGUAGACUACACUAGGCAAGCCAUAGUCAAGUAUUCAAUGAAGUGAAAGCGCGAAGACU